rnacentral:rRNA from 1 species
AGUGAACGCUGGCGGUAGGCCUAACACAUGCAAGUCGAACGGCAGCACAGUAAGAGCUUGCUCUUACGGGUGGCGAGUGGCGGACGGGUGAGGAAUACAUCGGAAUCUACUUUUUCGUGGGGGAUAACGUAGGGAAACUUACGCUAAUACCGCAUACGACCUACGGGUGAAAGCAGGGGAUCUUCGGGCCUUGCGCGAUUGAAUGAGCCGAUGUCGGAUUAGCUAGUUGGCGGGGUAAAGGCCCACCAAGGCGACGAUCCGUAGCUGGUCUGAGAGGAUGAUCAGCCACACUGGAACUGAGACACGGUCCAGACUCCUACGGGAGGCAGCAGUGGGGAAUAUUGGACAAUGGGCGCAAGCCUGAUCCAGCCAUACCGCGUGGGUGAAGAAGGCCUUCGGGUUGUAAAGCCCUUUUGUUGGGAAAGAAAAGCAGCAGGUUAAUACCCCGCUGUUCUGACGGUACCCAAAGAAUAAGCACCGGCUAACUUCGUGC